GAUGAACGCUAGCUAUAGGCUUAACACAUGCAAGUCGAGGGCAUCAGUUUGGUUUGCUUGCAAACCAAAGCUGGCGACCGGCGCACGGGUGAGUAACACGUAUCCAACCUGCCUCAUACUCGGGGAUAGCCUUUCGAAAGAAAGAUUAAUAUCCGAUAGCAUAUAUUUCCCGCAUGGGUUUUAUAUUAAAGAAAUUCGGUAUGAGAUGGGGAUGCGUUCCAUUAGUUUGUUGGCGGGGUAACGGCCCACCAAGACUACGAUGGAUAGGGGUUCUGAGAGGAAGGUCCCCCACAUUGGAACUGAGACACGGUCCAAACUCCUACGGGAGGCAGCAGUGAGGAUAUUGGUCAAUGGACGAGAGUCUGAACCAGCCAAGUAGCGUGAAGGAUGACUGCCCU
rnacentral:rRNA from 1 species